AAGACAUUUCUUUUUAAUAAUGACUUUAAUUAUACUUAAUAUAUUCUAGAUACAAAUUCCUGAACAGAUUUCUGAUUUGGAAAUAUUUUCACCCACUUUUGAAGUUGUCUUUUCACUUCCUUGAUAAUAUCUUUGAAUCAUAAAAGUUGUAAUUUUCAUGAAAUAUUUUUCUUUUAACAAUUGUAAUUUUGUGUCCUAUCUAAGAAGAUGUUUCCUACGCCAAGGUCACAAAGAUUUACUCCUGUGUUUUUUUGUUAAGAGUUUUAUAGUUUUAGCCCUUGUCUUCUGGGUUAAUAUUUAUAUAUUACAAGACAUGAAGGAAGAGUCCAACUACAUUAUUUUGAAUGUGUUCACCUAGUGGUCCCAGCAUCAUUUAUUGAAGACACUAUUUUUCUCUUUCAAUUUCUUCAGGCCCUUGUCAAAAAUCAAUUCACUAUAAAUACAAAGUUUUAUUUCUUUACUCUCAACUCUGGAACAUCAGUCUUUAUUCUUUUUCCAUUCCACAUUAUUUUUAUUUUUAUAGAUUUGUAGUAAAUUUUGAAAUUAGGAAUUGUGAGUCCUCCAACUUAUAUAUAUAUAUAUUUUAAAGAUUAUUUAAGCUAUUCUGGGUCCCCUGAAUUCCUCAUCAGUUUUUCAGGUCUGCUGGUCAGUUAAUGCAAAGGAGUCAGCUGGGAUUUUGAAAAGGAUUCCUUUAUCUGUGUUUCAAAUCCUAGAGUAUUUUCCUCUUAAUAAUAUUAAUUAAGUCUUCAAGUUCUUGAACACAGGGUAUCUUUCCAUUUGGUAGGUCUUCUUAGAUGCUUUCAACAAUGUUUUGUAGUCUUCAAAUGAUAAAUAUUGUACUAUUUUUUUAAACUUAUCAGUAUUUGGGGGGUUUUGAUGUAAUGAUAAAUGAAAUUUGCUUUCAGUUUAGGAUUAUUAAAAUCUAGCUCAUAGAAAUAAAAUUGAUUUUUUAUAUUGAUUUUGUAUCCUACAACCUUGCCAAACUCAUUUAUUAGUUUUAACAGUUUAUUGCUAUUGCUUAGUGCUUCAGUAGGGUUUUCUAAAUACAAGAUCGUGUCAUCUACAAACAAACAAUUUUUGUUUUUUUAUUUGUUGUUUGUUUGUUUGUGGUGGUGAGGAUUAACUCAGGGGUUCUCUACCAAUAAAUAACAUUCUCAAUCCUUUUUUAUUUUUUAUUUUGAGACUGAUUGCUCUCUAAAUUGCCCUGACUGGCCAUGAAUUUGUCCUGCC
rnacentral:lncRNA from 1 species